AUUCAGCUGAUGAGUCCCAAAUAGGACGAAAUGCGCGUCCUGGAU
rnacentral:hammerhead_ribozyme from 1 species